GAUGAACGCUGGCGGCGUGCUUAACACAUGCAAGUCGAACGAUGAAGCCCAGCUUGCUGGGUGGAUUAAUGGCGAACGGGUGAGUAACACGUGAGUAACCUGCCCUUGACUCUGGGAUAAGCCUGGGAAACUGGGACUAAUACUGGAUAUGACUUCUCAUCGCAUGGUGGGGGGUGGAAAGAUUUAUUGGUCUUGGAUGGACUCGCGGCCUAUCAGCUUGUUGGUGAGAUCAUGGCUCACCAAGGCGACGACGGGUAGCCGGCCUGAGAGGGUGACCGGCCACACUGGGACUGAGACACGGCCCAGACUCCUACGGGAGGCAGCAGUGGGGAAUAUUGCACAAUGGGCGCAAGCCUGAUGCAGCGACGCCGCGUGAGGGAUGACGGCCUUCGGGUUGUAAACCUCUUUCAGUAGGGAAGAAGCGAGAGUGACGGUACCUGCAGAAGAAGCGCCGGCUAACUACGUG
rnacentral:rRNA from 1 species